AACGAACGUUGGCGGCAUGGAUUAGGCAUGCAAGUUGAGCGUACCCAGCAAUGGGGAGCAGCGUAAGGGGCAGUAAGGCAUAGGUACCUACCCGGGGUUCAGGCAUAGCCUGUAGAAAUACAGGGUAAUUCCUGAUGAUGUCGUAAGACCAAAGCUCCGGCGACCGCGGAGGGGCCUAUGUGAUAUUAGCUAGUUGGUGGGGUAACGGCUCACCAAGGCGAAGAUGUCUAGCGGGUGUGAGAGCACGACCCGCGCCACUGGCACUGAGACACUGGCCAGACACCUACGGGUGGCUGCAGUCGAGGAUCUUCGGCAAUGGGCGCAAGCCUGACCGAGCGAUGCCGCGUGUGCGACGAAGGCCUUCGGGUUGUAAAGCACUGUCGAGGGGGAGAAAAGCGAAAGCUUGAUCUAUCCCUGGAGGAAGCUCGGGCUAAGUUCGUGCCAGCCGCCGCAGUAAAAC
rnacentral:rRNA from 1 species